rnacentral:tRNA from 1 species
UCCCUGGUGGCUCAGAGGUUAAAGCGUCUGCCUGCAAUGAGGGAGACCCAGGUUCAAUCCCUGGGUUGGGAA